rnacentral:rRNA from 1 species
UAUCCUUUGUUGCCAGCGGUCCGGCCGGGAACUCAAAGGAGACUGCCAGUGAUAAACUGGAGGAAGGUGGGGAUGACGUCAAGUCAUCAUGGCCCUUACGACCAGGGCUACACACGUGCUACAAUGGCGCAUACAAAGAGAAGCGACCUCGCGAGAGCAAGCGGACCUCAUAAAGUGCGUCGUAGUCCGGAUUGGAGUCUGCAACUCGACUCCAUGAAGUCGGAAUCGCUAGUAAUCGUGGAUCAGAAUGCCACGGUGAAUACGUUCCCGGGCCUUGUACACACCGCCCG